rnacentral:rRNA from 1 species
GUAGGGAAUAUUGUGCAAUGGACGAAAGUCUGACGCAGCGACGCCGCGUGAGUGAUGAAGGCCUUAGGGUCGUAAAGCUCUGUUGAAUGGGAAGAAAAAAAUGACGGUACCAUUCGAGGAAGGACCGGCUAACUUCGUGCCAGCAGCCGCGGUAAUACGAGGGGUCCUAGCGUUGUUCGGAAUCAUUGGGCGUAAAGGGUGUGUAGGUGGCCAUGUAAGUCAGGUGUGAAAGCCCCGGGCUCAACCCGGGAAGUGCACUUGAUACUGCGUGGCUUGAGUACCGAAGAGGGUAGUGGAAUUCCAGGUGUAGUGGUGAAAUACGUAGAUAUCUGGAGGAACACCGGUGGCGAAGGCGGCUACCUGGUCGAGUACUGACACUGAGACACGAAAGCAUGGGGAUCAAACAGGAUUAGAUACCCGGGUAGUCC